rnacentral:rRNA from 2 species
CUCUCUGGUCUGUAACUGACGCUGAGGAGCGAAAGCGUGGGGAGCGAACAGGAUUAGAUACCCUGGUAGUCCACGCCGUAAACGAUGAGUGCUAAGUGUUAGGGGGUUUCCGCCCCUUAGUGCUGCAGCUAACGCAUUAAGCACUCCGCCUGGGGAGUACGGUCGCAAGACUGAAACUCAAAGGAAUUGACGGGGGCCCGCACAAGCGGUGGAGCAUGUGGUUUAAUUCGAAGCAACGCGAAGAACCUUACCAGGUCUUGACAUCCUCUGACAACCCUAGAGAUAGGGCUUUCCCUUCGGGGACAGAGUGACAGGUGGUGCAUGGUUGUCGUCAGCUCCUGUCGUGAGAUGUUGGGUUAAGUCCCGCAACGAGCGCAACCCUUGAUCUUAGUUGCCAGCAUUCAGUUGGGCACUCUAAGGUGA